rnacentral:rRNA from 1 species
UACGUAGGGACCAAGCGUUGUUCGGAUUUACUGGGCGUAAAGGGCGCGUAGGCGGCAAUUCAAGUCAUCUGUGAAAUCCCCGGGCUCAACCUGGGAACUGCAUUUGUGACUGCAUGGCUAGAGUACGGUAGAGGGGGGAUGGAAUUCCACGUGUAGCAGUGAAAUGCGUAGAGAUGUGGAGGAAUACCGAUGGCGAAGGCAGCCCCCCUGGGAUAACACUGACGCUCAUGCACGAAAGCGUGGGGAGCAAACAGG